CCUUAAUUUAUUUCUUAUAAUAUAUACUUGCUUUGUUUAUACUACUUACUGAAACAUCAAAGAAUAUAGUAACGGCGAUAAAAGUUUUAUUUAUUAAAUUUAAGUACCGCAAGGGAAAACAUGAAUUAGAAAAAAGUAGUUUGUUAAACGUACUUUUUGUAUCACGGCUUAGCAAGAGUAAAUUAGAAAUACUAAAUUCUCGAAAUCUAACGAGCUAUUUUAUUUUGAUCUGCUAGGAUCUUAAUCUUUAGAUGUAGCAAAAUCUAAGAAAUAAAUAAAAAUAGAGAUGAAAUUUCAUUCGUGUUAGUGAUAGCUAGUUCUCCCCGAAAAAUAUAAAAGUAUUAAAAUGGGUAGAGUUAAAGGGUAAUUUUUAACCUCUAACUGUCCCCAAGAUUCACUUGUCUGAGGAUAAGCUCAGACAAGGUUUUGAGAGCAAUAUAUAUCCUUAUUUCUGUGUGGGCUUAAGAUCGGCCAUCAUAAUAAGUUUGUUAUAAAAUAGUUCAAGAACUUAAAAAGAUUAGUAUAUUAAGUUUCCAAUAGCCAGAUAGGGGAGUAUUAUCAACUGAAAUCAACUAAAUUAAACACUGAUGCUAAGAUGAGUAUUAUACUAAAAAUAACUUGGAAAAACAAUAAAAAGUUUCCUUUAUAAUCCUUGCCAAAUUCAUUAGUAAACUAAAUAUUUAGAAGGAACUCGGCAAAAACUUGCUUCGCCUGUUUAUCAAAAACAUGGCUCUUUGUUUAAUUUUUAUAAAGAGUCGAGCCUGCCCAGUGAAAAUUUCAACGGCCGCGGUACUCUGACCGUGCAAAGGUAGCAUAAUCAUUUGCCUUAUAAUUGAAGGCUAGUAUGAAUGGUUUGACGAAAGCAAAUCUGUCUCCUCUUUACUACUUAGAACUUGACCUUUAGGUGAAGAGGCCUAAAUAUCAUUGAAGGACAAGAAGACCCUGUCGAGCUUAAAAGAACAUGUAGAAGUUAAUAUACUUAAAAAUAAAUAAUCUACUAAGCUUUUUAGUUGGGGCGACUAAGGAACAAAAAAAGCUUCUUAAUUAAAAAAAACCAACAAGUUUAGAUCCAACCAGCUUGAUCAAAGAAAUUAGUUACCGCAGGGAUAACAGCAUAAUCUCUCUUGAGAGACCUAAUCGAAAGGGGGGGUUGUGACCUCGAUGUUGGACUAGAAUAUCCUAAAGAUGCAGAAGUCUUUAAGGGUUGGUCUGUUCGACCAUAAAAAUUCUACAUGAUCUGAGUUCAGACCGGCGUGAGCCAGGUCAGUUUCUAUCCUCAAUUCAUACCUCUGAGCUUAGUACGAAAGGAUUGGCCCAGAAAAUAUUAUUUUUCUUAAGAACAAAUAUAAUUAAUAAAUCAAUUUUAUGAUCAAAUUAG
rnacentral:rRNA from 1 species